GGUCAAGUUGUUAAGGGCAUACGGUGGAUGCCUUGGCAUCAGGAGCCGAUGAAGGACGUGGGAGGCUGCGAUAUGCCUCGGGGAGCUGUCAACCGAGCUGUGAUCCGAGGAUUUCCGAAUGGGGAAACCCGGCACCCGUUAUGGGGUGUCACCCGCACCUGAAUAUAUAGGGUGUGUGGAGGGAACGCGGGGAAGUGAAACAUCUCAGUACCCGUAGGAAGAGAAAACAACCGUGAUUCCGUGAGUAGUGGCGAGCGAAAGCGGAUGAGGCUAAACCUGCUGCGUGUGAUACCUGACAGGGGUUGCGUAGUGGGGGUCGUGGGACCCACUGGGUCGGGCUGUCAACCGACCGGGGAGUCAUAAAAUCAUGUUGCUAGUCGAAUCGGUCUGGAAAGCCGAGCCGUAGAGGGUGAGAGUCCCGUAGGCGAAAGCGCGUGAUCUUCCUUGGUGGUGUUCCCGAGUAGCAGCGAGCUCGUGGAAUUUGCUGUGAAUUUGGCGGGACCACCCGUUAAGCCUAAAUACUUCCUGAUGACCGAUAGCGGACUAGUACCGUGAGGGAAAGGUGAAAAGUACCCCGGGAGGGGAGUGAAAGAGUACCUGAAACCGUGUGCCUACAAGCCGUCAGAGCCUUACGGGGUGAUGGCGUGCCUUUUGAAGAAUGAGCCUGCGAGUUAGUGCUGCGUGGCGAGGUUAACCCGUGUGGGGUAGCCGUAGCGAAAGCGAGUCUGAAUAGGGCGUUGAGUCGCGUGGUCUAGACCCGAAGCGGAGUGAUCUACCCAUGGCCAGGGUGAAGCGCCGGUAAGACGGUGUGGAGGCCCGAACCCACCAGGGUUGAAAACCUGGGGGAUGAGCUGUGGGUAGGGGUGAAAGGCCAAUCAAACUCCGUGAUAGCUGGUUCUCCCCGAAAUGCAUUUAGGUGCAGCGUCGUGUGUUUCUCAUCGGGGGUAGAGCACUGGAUGGUCUAGGGGGCCUACAAGCUUACCAAAAUCAACCAAACUCCGAAUACCGGUGAGUGAGAGCGCGGCAGUGAGACUGUGGGGGAUAAGCUUCAUAGUCGAGAGGGAAACAGCCCAGAACACCAGCUAAGGCCCCUAAGUGUGCGCUAAGUGGGAAAGGAUGUGGGGUCGCCCAGACAACCAGGAGGUUGGCUUAGAAGCAGCCACCCUUGAAAGAGUGCGUAAUAGCUCACUGGUCAAGUGGUCCUGCGCCGACAAUGUAGCGGGGCUUAAGCGUACCGCCGAAGCUGUGUCAUUCGUACAUGUGAUCCAUUUGGUUCUUCGGAGUCUUAUGCAGUCGUGCGGAUGGGUAGGGGAGCGUCCUGUAGCCAUGGAAGCGGCGACGGAAGUCAGCCGUGGAGGCUAUGGGAGUGAGAAUGCAGGCAUGAGUAGCGAAAGCAGAGUGAGAACCUCUGCCGCCGGAUGACCAAGGGUUCCUGGGCCAGGCUAAUCCGCCCAGGGUAAGUCGGGACCUAAGGCGAGGCCGACAGGCGUAGUCGAUGGACAACGGGUUGAUAUUCCCGUACCCGCGUGAACGCGCCCAUGAUGAGGCGGUUGAUGCUAACCACCCAAAGCUUGCGGGGACGACCUUCGGGUCUAGCCGUUGGUGGAGCGUGGGAACCGAUUCCGUAUUAGUCAAGCGAUGGGGUGACGCAGGAAGGUAGUUCCGCCAGUGAGUGGAUUAACUGGUGUAAGCGUGUAGGGUCUGGUGUAGGUAAAUCCGCACUGGGUGUAUCCUGAGACGUGAUGCGUAGCCGAUUGAGGCGAAGUGGAUGAUCCUAUGCUGCCGAGAAAAGCCUCUAGUGAGUGUUCAAGCGGCCCGUACCCUAAACCGACACAGGUGGUCAGGUAGAGAAUACUAAGGCGUUCGGGUGAACUGUGGUUAAGGAACUCGGCAAAAUGCCCCCGUAACUUCGGGAGAAGGGGGGCCGUGUGGCGUGAAGGGACUUGCUCCUGGAGCGUUGUGUGGCCGCAGAGACCAGCGAGAAGCGACUGUUUACUAAAAACACAGGUCCGUGCGAAGUCGUAAGACGAUGUAUACGGACUGACGCCUGCCCGGUGCUGGAACGUUAAGAGGACGGGUUAGUCACGUGAGUGGCGAAGCUCAGAAUUUAAGCGCCAGUAAACGGCGGUGGUAACUAUAACCAUCCUAAGGUAGCGAAAUUCCUUGUCGGGUAAGUUCCGACCUGCACGAAUGGCGUAACGACUUCUCGGCUGUCUCAACCACAGGCCCGGUGAAAUUGCACUACGAGUAAAGAUGCUCGUUACGCGCGGCAGGACGGAAAGACCCCGGGACCUUUACUAUAGCUUGGUAUUGGUGCUCGGUUCGGCUUGUGUAGGAUAGGUGGGAGACUGUGAAGCUCUGACGCUAGUUAGGGUGGAGUCAUUGUUGAAAUACCACUCUGGUCGAAUUGGGUGUCUAACCUCGGACCAUGAUCUGGUUCAGGGACAGUGCCUGGUGGGUAGUUUAACUGGGGCGGUUGCCUCCCAAAGAGUAACGGAGGCGCUCAAAGGUUCCCUCAGCCUGGUUGGCAAUCAGGUGUUGAGUGCAAGUGCACAAGGGGGCUUGACUGUGAGACUGACGGGUCGAGCAGGGACGAAAGUCGGAACUAGUGAUCCGGCCAUGGCUUGUGGAAGCGUGGUCGCUCAACGGAUAAAAGGUACCCCGGGGAUAACAGGCUGAUCUUGCCCAAGAGUCCAUAUCGACGGCAUGGUUUGGCACCUCGAUGUCGGCUCGUCGCAUCCUGGGGCCGGAGUAGGUCCCAAGGGUUGGGCUGUUCGCCCAUUAAAGCGGUACGCGAGCUGGGUUUAGAACGUCGUGAGACAGUUCGGUCCCUAUCCGCCGCGCGCGUAGGAGACUUGAGGAAGGCUGUCCCUAGUACGAGAGGACCGGGACGGACGAACCUCUGGUGUGCCAGUUGUUCUGCCAAGGGCAUGGCUGGUUGGCUACGUUCGGAAGGGAUAACCGCUGAAGGCAUCUAAGCGGGAAGCUCGUUCCAAGAUGAGGUCUCCCACCCCUUUGUGGGUUAAGGCUCCCAGCUAGACGACUGGGUUGAUAGGCCAGAGAUGGAAGCACGGUAACGUGUGGAGUUGACUGGUACUAAUAGGCCGAGGACUUGCUCAC
rnacentral:rRNA from 2 species